rnacentral:rRNA from 1 species
UACGGGGGGGGCAAGCGUUGUUCGGAAUUACUGGGCGUAAAGGGCUCGUAGGCGGCCAACUAAGUCGGACGUGAAAUCCCCAGGCUCAACCUGGGAACUGCGUCCGAUACUGGAUGGCUUGAAUCCGGGAGAGGGAUGCAGAAUUCCAGGUGUAGCGGUGAAAUGCGUAGAUAUCUGGAGGAAUACCGGUGGCGAGGGCGGCAUCCUGGACCGGCAUUGACGCUGAGGAGCGAAAGCCAGGGGAGCAAACGGG